rnacentral:rRNA from 1 species
AGGGCACCACCAGGAGUGGAGCCUGCGGCUUAAUUUGACUCAACACGGGAAAACUCACCCGGCCCGGACACUGUAAGGAUUGACAGACUGAGAGCUCUUUCUUAAUUCAGUGGGUGGUGGUGCAUGGCCGUUCUUAGUUGGUGGAGCGAUUUGUCUGGUUAAUUCCGAUAACGAACGAGACUCUGGCCUAUUAAAUAGACGAGGUAUCUAAAUGUAUCUCGCGCUUCUUAGAGGGACGAGCGGCGUCUAGUCGCAUGAAAAAGAGCAAUAACAGGUCUGUGAUGCCCUUAGAUGUCCGGGGCUGCACGCGCGCUACAAUGAAAAUAGCAGCGCGUGUCGAAAACCUUUUCUGGAAAGAAUUGGUAAACGCGAAAUAUUUUCGUGAUAGGGAUAGGGGAUUGAAAUUAUUGCCCUUGAACGAGGAAUUCCCAGUAAAUUCGAGUCAUCAGCUCGAGUUGAUUACGUCCCUGCCCUUUGUACACACCGCCCGUCGCUACUACCGAUUGGAAGACUGAGUGA